rnacentral:other from 1 species
AAUGUCCUGGGGUUCACGACAGUCCGCCUGUUUUUACCCACAGCUCAUAAAAAGGAGCCCGGGUCCAUGUUUUGUGAUGCCAUGCCCCCGUUAUCAUAACGCCAGGGGAAGGCAGAGACAAACGGCAGGGCACCUACCUGCUUAACAAAGCGGGUGAAAAAACGGCGCACAUCGGCACUUUGGGACAUUC